rnacentral:rRNA from 1 species
GACGAACGCUGGCGGCGUGCUUAACACAUGCAAGUCGAACGGAAAGGCCCUGCUUUUGUGGGGUGCUCGAGUGGCGAACGGGUGAGUAACACGUGAGUAACCUGCCCUUGACUUUGGGAUAACUUCAGGAAACUGGGGCUAAUACCGGAUAGGAGCUCCUGCUGCAUGGUGGGGGUUGGAAAGUUUCGGCGGUUGGGGAUGGACUCGCGGCUUAUCAGCUUGUUGGUGGGGUAGUGGCUUACCAAGGCUUUGACGGGUAGCCGGCCUGAGAGGGUGACCGGCCACAUUGGGAAUGGGGAACGGCCCAGGCUCCUACGGGAGGCAGCAGUGGGGAAUAUUGCACAAUGGGCGGAAGCCUGAUGCAGCAACGCCGCGUGCGGGAUGACGGCCUUCGGGUUGUAAACCGCUUUCGCCUGUGACGAAGCGUGAGUGACGGUAAUGGGUAAAGAAGCACCGGCUAACUACGUG